rnacentral:rRNA from 1 species
UACAUAGGGGGCAAGCGUUAUCCGGAAUUAUUGGGUGUAAAGGGUGCGUAGACGGAGAAACAAGUUGGUUGCGAAAUCCCUCGGCUCAACCGAGGAACUGCAACCAAAACUAUUUCCCUUGAGUGUCGGAGAGGAAAGUGGAAUUCCUAGUGUAGCGGUGAAAUGCGUAGAUAUUAGGAGGAACACCAGUGGCGAAGGCGACUUUCUGGACGAUAACUGACGUUGAGGCACGAAAGUGUGGGGAGCAAACAGG